GAGAUAAUACAUCUUUUUAUUUAAUUUGUCCUCUUUGAUGUUCCCAGGCAACCUAAUGUGUUGAAGCCUGAAGAAAAGGUUUAUUCUGUAGUAGAACAAAGAUAGAAAAACUGCUUGAACAGGUUGCAAAGGAAUCAGCGGUUAAGAGAAGGUUGGACACCUUGCUCCUGACAAGUGAACUGCCAAGGGGAUGAGGACUAUAGAGAUACGAAUGACUAGAAAUUUGCUCAGUUAUUGCCACAGUUUCAAAAGAUUUCAUGUGUCACCUUGAAUGUUUUGAUCCCAUCAAUCAGUGAUAUCAAUAAAUCAUUUAAUUUUACA